UACGUAGGGUGCAAGCGUUGUCCGGAAUUAUUGGGCGUAAAGAGCUCGUAGGCGGUUUGUCGCGUCUGCUGUGAAAACCCGAGGCUCAACCUCGGGCCUGCAGUGGGUACGGGCAGACUAGAGUGCGGUAGGGGAGAUUGGAAUUCCUGGUGUAGCGGUGAAAUGCGCAGAUAUCUGGAGGAACACCGGUGGCGAAGGCGGCAUUCUGGACCGACAUUGACGCUGAGGAGCGAAAGCCAGGGGAGCAAAGCGGG
rnacentral:rRNA from 1 species